GAUGAACGCUGGCGGCGUGCCUAAUACAUGCAAGUCGAGCGAACAGACGAGGAGCUUGCUCCUCUUACGUUAGCGGCGGACGGGUGAGUAACACGUGGAUAACCUACCUAUAAGACUGGGAUAACUUCGGGAAACCGGAGCUAAUACCGGAUAAUAUAUUGAACCGCAUGGUUCAAUAGUGAAAGACGGUUUUGCUGUCACUUAUAGAUGGAUCCGCGCCGCAUUAGCUAGUUGGUAAGGUAACGGCUUACCAAGGCAACGAUGCGUAGCCGACCUGAGAGGGUGAUCGGCCACACUAGAACUGAGACACGGUCCAGACUCCUACGGGAGGCAGCAGUAGGGAAUCUUCCGCAAUGGGCGAAAGCCUGACGGAGCAACGCCGCGUGAGUGAUGAAGGUCUUCGGAUCGUAAAACUCUGUUAUUAGGGAAGAACAAAUGUGUAAGUAACUAUGCACGUCUUGACGGUACCUAAUCAGAAAGCCACGGCUAACUACGUG
rnacentral:rRNA from 1 species